GCCAGACUCCUACGGGAGGCAGCAGUGGGGAAUAUUGCACAAUGGGCGAAAGCCUGAUGCAGCAACGCCGCGUGAAGGAAGACGGUUUUCGGAUUGUAAACUUCUGUUCUUAGUGAAGAAUAAUGACGGUAACUAAGGAGCAAGCCACGGCUAACUCCGUGCCAGCAGCCGCGGUAAUACGGAGGAUGCGAGCGUUAUCCGGAUUUAUUGGGUUUAAAGGGUGCGCAGGCGGCGAGUUAAGUCAGCGGUAAAUUUCCGGGCCGCACCCCCGCCAAGCCGUUGAAACUGGGUGCCUUGAGUGGGCGAGAAGUACGCGGAAUGCGUGGUGUAGCGGUGAAAUGCAUAGAUAUCACGCAGAACUCCGAUUGCGAAGGCAGCAUACCGGCGCCCAACUGACGCUGAAGCACGAAAGCGUGGGUAUCGAACAGGAUUAGAUACCCCCGUAAGC
rnacentral:rRNA from 1 species